rnacentral:rRNA from 1 species
GGCAUAUCAAUAAGCGGAGGAAAAGAAACCAACCGGGAUUGCCUCAGUAACGGCGAGUGAAGCGGCAAGAGCUCAAAUUUGAAAUCUGGCCCCCCUGGGGGUCCGAGUUGUAAUUUGGAGAGGAUGCUUCGGGUACGGUGCCCAUCUAAGUGCCCUGGAACGGGCGGUCAUAGAGGGUGAGAAUCCCGUAUGGGAUGGGCGGCCGUGCCCGUGUGAAGCUCCUUCGACGAGUCGAGUUGUUUGGGAAUGCAGCUCUAAGCGGGUGGUAAAUUUCAUCUAAAGCUAAAUACUGGCCGGAGACCGAUAGCGCACAAGUAGAGUGAUCGAAAGAUGAAAAGCACUUUGAAAAGAGAGUUAAACAGCACGUGAAAUUGUUGAAAGGGAAGCGUUGGCCACCAGACGCGCCCGGGAGGGUUCAGCCGGCACUUGUGCCGGUGUACUCCCCCCCGGGUGGGCCAGCAUCGGUUUGGGCGGUCGCUGAAAGGCCCCGGGAAUGUAGCACCCUCCGGGGUGCCUUAUAGCCCGGGGUGUCAUGCGGCCCGCCUGGACCGAGGCCCGCGCUUCGGCGAGGAUGCUGGCGUAAUGGUGGUCAACGGCCCGUCUUGAAACACGGACCAAGGAGUCUAACAUCUAUGCGAGUGUUCGGGUGUCAAACCCGUCCGCGCAGUGAAAGCGAACGCAGGUGGGAACCCCUUCCGGGGCGCACCAUCGACCGAUCCUGAUGUCUUCGGAUGGAUUUGAGUAAGAGCAUAGCUGUUGGGACCCGAAAGAUGGUGAACUAUGCCUGAAUAGGGCGAAGCCAGAGGAAACUCUGGUGGAGGCUCGCAGCGGUUCUGACGUGCAAAUCGAUCGUCAAAUUUGGGUAUAGGGGCGAAAGACUAAUCGAACCAU